AUUAAUUGGGAUCAUUGAUCGAAGGAACCGGUGGUAAGUCUUUUCAAUCUAGUCUUUAUUUCGUAUUUUAGAAAAACUGAAACCCCUAAAGGUUAGGGAGGCUGUCGACUUGGACUUGUAGCCCUAAGGGGUUGUGAUAAUUGUUUUGUCUUGAUAAUAAUAUGAUCUAGAGGUUGCUGAUCAAGGGCUUGGACAAGUGGAGCAA
rnacentral:lncRNA from 1 species